GACGAACGCUGGCGGCGUGCCUAAUACAUGCAAGUAGAACGCUGAAGCGAGGAGCUUGCUCUUCUUGGAUGAGUUGCGCACGGGUGAGUAACGCGUAGGUAACCUGCCUUGUAGCGGGGGAUAACUAUUGGAAACGAUAGCUAAUACCGCAUAACAAUGGAUGACACAUGUCCUUUAUUUGAAAGGGGCAAUUGCUCCACUACAAGAUGGACCUGCGUUGUAUUAGCUAGUAGGUGAAGUAAUGGCUCACCUAGGCGACGCUACAUAGCCUACCGGAGCGGGUGAGCGGCCGCAAAGGGACUGAGACACGGCCCAGAAUUCUACGGGAGGCAGCAGUAGGGAAUCUUCGGCGAUGGGGGCAACCCUGACCGAGCAACGCCGCGUGAGUGAAGAAGGUUGUCGGAUCGUAAAGCUCUGUUGUAAGUCAAGAACGGGUGUGAGAGUGGAAAGUUCACACUGUGACGGUAGCUUACCAGAAAGGGACGGCUAACUACGUG
rnacentral:rRNA from 1 species